rnacentral:piRNA from 1 species
UGGCAGAUAACAGGGACUUCUCUGGAGAA